UACGAGUGGUGCAAGCGUUAUUCGGAAUCAUUGGGCGUAAAGGGUGUGUAGACGGCAUUUUAAGUCAACUGUUUAAUUCUCCGGCCUAACCGGAGGUCAGCGGUAGAAACUGAUAUGCUAGAGGGUGGAAGAGAGAAGUGGAAUUCUCGGAGUAGCGGUAAAAUGCGUAGAUCUCGAGAGGAACACCAAUGGCGAAGGCAGCUUCUUGGUCCAAUCCUGACGUUGAAACACGAAAGCGUGGGGAGCAAACAGG
rnacentral:rRNA from 1 species